rnacentral:sRNA from 1 species
UAAAAUGGCCGAAUUUCAAUGGAAAACGGGGGAACCGGUUUUUUGGGGUGAAUUUUGCUAAAUCUUACGAGCCGAGGCUUGGGGAGGAAGCGAAUAGGGCAACUGUGCAUGUCCGAAUCCGUCAGCUAACCUCGUAGGCCUUUGC